rnacentral:rRNA from 1 species
AUACAGAGGGUGCGAGCGUUAAUCGGAUUUACUGGGCGUAAAGCGCGCGUAGGUGGUUAAUUAAGUCAAAUGUGAAAUCCCCGAGCUUAACUUGGGAAUUGCAUUCGAUACUGGUUAGCUAGAGUAUGGGAGAGGAUGGUAGAAUUCCAGGUGUAGCGGUGAAAUGCGUAGAGAUCUGGAGGAAUACCGAUGGCGAAGGCAGCCAUCUGGCCUAAUACUGACACUGAGGUGCGAAAGCAUGGGGAGCAAACAGGAUUAGAUACCCUGGUAGUCCAUGCCGUAAACGAUGUCUACUAGCCGUUGGGGGAUUUGAUCCUUUAGUGGUGCAGCUAACGCGAUAAGUAGACCGCCUGGGGAGUACGGUCGCAAGACUAAAACUCAAAUGAAUUGGCGGGG